ACAAAAUUCUCAAAUCCCUAACCCUAGUUUUGAAGAUUCUUCUACUGUGCUAAUCAAUAGCAGAGGUGAUCAAUCAGAGUUCGAGAAAUCCUGGUCAUGGUGGUUAUGAUAUGAACAUGGUUGAUGGUUGAUGUAGAGAAUGGAGAUAGAGAAUCAAAUCCUUUGAUGCACCAAAUCCCUACUAUUGGAAUGAUUUGUAGCACAUCAAAUCAGAUAUCUCAGGGAGGUGUAUUGGAUGUAAGCUCAAGGCAGGGUCAGUAAGGAAUGCAGAAGAAGCUGAAAGUCUGGCUAUUCUUGAGGUUGUUUAAUGGGCAAGAAAAAAAAGUCUGCAGAAAGUUUGCUUUAUUAGUGAUGCUAAAGUAGUAAUCGAGUCCCUGAACUCUUUUUCAAACCACUGGCAUAAUAAGUCAGUCAUAGAUGACUGUAAAAUUUUAGUUUCUGAUUUCCAUUACGCACACUUUUACUUUUUUAAAACGAAAUCAUAUUAUCUUAGCUAAUCAAGCAGCCAAAUUUAGCAAGAGGUCUAGAACCUUAGGGAAAUGGUGGGGAAAUAUCCCAAGCUUCCUUAAUUCUUCAAUGUAAUAGUUUCCUCAGUAAUAGAAAUUUUUUCUUAGCAAAAAAAAAAAUGUUGUGAAA